GUGUCAAGGAGGGUUGCUUACUAGGUUUUCUUGUCUUGUCUCGUCUUGUCUUGUCUUGUCUUGUCUUGUCUUGUCUUGCUGCACCUAGCCUUAGGCAGUUCACAGAGCACAAGACAUGCUGUGGGCUCUGGCCCUACUUCUAGUUUUCUUGCCUGCUGGCAGACAAACAUCCUCUAACUUGGAAGAGAGAAAGAUGUCAAUCACCAGGCCAGUGGGGUCCUCUGCUAUAUUCACUUGUGAUAUUCACAGAACAGACAAUUACAUCCACUGGUACCGAUUCCAGAAAAGGAAGGCCCCACAGCACCUUCUGUACUAUAACUUCGUCAGUUCCAUAACUGUGGUGGCUUCCAGCCUCAAUUCGGAGAAAUAUCAUGCUUACGAAGGCACGGACAAGAGUUGUAAAUUUGUACUUCGGAAAGUGGAGGAAUCCGAUUCUGCUGAGUAUUACUGUGCCACCUGGGCUAGCACAAUGACUCAGCUUUGCCAUCAUCUGUACUGA